rfam:Schistosoma rodhaini strain Burundi genome assembly, scaffold: SROB_scaffold0000435
AUCCAGUUGACGAGUCCCAAAUAGGACGAAACGCGUAUUAAACUGGAU